AGAGUUUGAUCCUGGCUCAGGAUGAACGCUAGCGGCAGGCUUAAUACAUGCAAGUCGUGGGGCAGCAUGGUGUAGCAAUACACUGAUGGCGACCGGCAAACGGGUGCGGAACACGUACGCAACCUUCCUUUUAGUGGGGGAUAGCCCAGGGAAACUUGGAUUAAUACCUCGUAACAUUACCGGGUGGCAUCGCCUGGUAA
rnacentral:rRNA from 1 species